rnacentral:rRNA from 1 species
CGGGGCUUAAAGUCUUGUAAUUGGAAUGAUGGGAUUUUAAACCUCUUCCAGAGUAUCAAUUGGAGGGCAAGUCUGGUGCCAGCAGCCGCGGUAAUUCCAGCUCCAAUAGCGUAUAUUAAAAUUGUUGCAGUUAAAAAGCUCGUAGUUGAAUUUCUGCUGCAUUGCUUGUGUCCCUCUGGGGUCUGUGCAUGUGGCUUUUUUCGGACGGAGUUUCUUUGUCUGAAUGUUUACUUUGAGAAAAUUAGAGUGCUCAAAGCAGGCUUUCGCCUUGAAUAGUUUAGCAUGGAAUAAUAAAGUAGGACUUUGGUUCUAUUUUGUUGGUUUUAGGUACCAAAGUAAUGGUUAAUAGGAACAGUUGGGGGCAUUCGUAUUUAACUGUCAGAGGUGAAAUUCUUAGAUUUGUUAAAGACGAACUACUGCGAAAGCAUUUGCCAAGGAUGUUUUCAUUAAUCAAGAAC